AACGAACGCUGGCGGCAUGCCUAACACAUGCAAGUCGAACGAAACCUUCGGGUCUAGUGGCUCACGUGUGCGUAACCCGUGGGAACCUGCCCUUAUGUUCGGCCUACCUUCCCGAAAGGGGUGCUACUACCGGAUAAUUUCUUCGGCCCAAUGAUUUAUCGCGUUUGGUGGGGCCCGCUUUGGAUACGCUAGUUGCUAGGGUAAAAGCCUACCAAGGCGACGAUCCAUAUCUGGUCUGAGAGGAAGAGCAGCCACACUGGGACUGAGACGCGGCCCAGACUCCUACGGGAGGCAGGAGUGGGGAAUAUUGGAAAGUGGGCGAAAGGAUGAAGCAGCAAGGCUGGGUGAGUGAUGAAGGCAUUAGAGAAGUAAAGAUCUUUUAACCGGGAUGAUAAUGACAGUACCGGGAGAAUAAGCUACGGCUAACUCCGUG
rnacentral:rRNA from 1 species